ensembl:lncRNA
GUUCUCCCUUCAGCUGGACUUCGGGCAAGGUUGGCCCCCUGCCUGGGCUUUUCUACUGGGCCUAUAGAGCAGAGCCGGUGCUGGGCCUGCAUGCAGUGUUGAACCAAUCCGCCCGGGGUACGAGCAUCAGCUCCAGCGCAGCUUGGAGGGCGCGCUCCCAGCUCUGCUAACAGUGAAAGCCCCGGCGAGCUAGCGAGCCCUGGGACCUUGCGCGGAACGUCGCGCAACCCCGCGCUGCGCAGCAGACUACACGGGCGACAGUGACCCUGGCACCUGGCCAGGGAUCCAGCGCUGAUGGGCAAACUGAGGCCAAGCAGGAGGACUUGCCAAAGUAUCCCUGCAGAACACCGCCUGGAGGUCGCACCGCUUGGACACCCACAGUGCGGGUCUGCUCGCCGACCAUCCACUCACAGGAGAAGCCUCCAAAAGGACCAGAGCCAGAAGGGCCCAUGCAGGCC